rnacentral:rRNA from 1 species
UACAGAGGGUGCUAGCGUUAUUCGGAAUUACUGGGCUUAAAGGGUUUGUAGGCGGCCUUGUAAGUCAGGUGUGAAUCCCUCGGCUCAACCGAGGAAUGGCGCUUGAUACUGCAAGCUUGAGGGAGACAGGGGUAGCGGAACUGAUGGUGGAGCGGUGAAAUGCGUUGAUAUCAUCAGGAACACCGGUGGCGAAAGCGGCUUACUGGGUCUCUUCUGACGCUGAGGAACGAAAGCUAGGGUGAGCGAACGGGGAUUAAGAAACCCC